GACAGAGGGGGCAAGCGUUGCUCGGAAUUACUGGGCGUAAAGGGCGCGUAGGCGGGAUGGCAAGUCGGUCGUGAAAUCCUUCGGCUCAACCGAAGAACGUCGAUCGAUACUGCUGUUCUUGAGGGUUGCAGAGGAGACUGGAAUUCCCGGUGUAGCGGUGAAAUGCGUAGAGAUGUGGAGGAACACCGAUGGCGAAGGCAGCCCCCUGGGCUGAGAUUGACGCUCAGGCACGAAAGCGUGGGGAGCAAACAGG
rnacentral:rRNA from 1 species